rnacentral:rRNA from 1 species
AUUGAACGCUGGCGGCAGGCCUAACACACGCAAGUCGAACGGUAACAGGAAGCAGCUUGCUGCUUUGCUGACGAGUGGCGGACGGGUGAGUAAUGUCUGGGAAACUGCCUGAUGGAGGGGGAUAACUACUGGAAACGGUAGCUAAUACCGCAUAACGUCGCAAGACCAAAGAGGGGGACCUUCGGGCCUCUUGCCAUCGGAUGUGCCCAGAUGGGAUUAGCUAGUAGGUGGGGUAACGGCUCACCUAGGCGACGAUCCCUAGCUGGUCUGAGAGGAUGACCAGCCACACUGGAACUGAGACACGGUCCAGACUCCUACGGGAGGCAGCAGUGGGGAAUAUUGCACAAUGGGCGCAAGCCUGAUGCAGCCAUGCCGCGUGUAUGAAGAAGGCCUUCGGGUUGUAAAGUACUUUCAGCGGGGAGGAAGGGAGUAAAGUUAAUACCUUUGCUCAUUGACGUUACCCGCAGAAGAAGCACCGGCUAACUCCGUG